AGUGGCGGACGGGUGAGUAACGCGUGGGUAACCUGCCUUGUACUGGGGGACAACAGUUGGAAACGACUGCUAAUACCGCAUAAGCGCACAGCUUCGCAUGAAGCGGUGUGAAAAACUCCGGUGGUACAAGAUGGACCCGCGUCUGAUUAGCUGGUUGGUGAGGUAACGGCCCACCAAGGCGACGAUCAGUAGCCGGCCUGAGAGGGUGAACGGCCACAUUGGGACUGAGACACGGCCCAAACUCCUACGGGAGGCAGCAUG
rnacentral:rRNA from 1 species